rnacentral:rRNA from 1 species
GUACCGUGAGGGAAAGGUGAAAAGAACCCCGGGAGGGGAGUGAAAUAGAACAUGAAACCAUAAACUUACAAGCAGUAGGAGGACGACUUAACGUCUGACUGCGUGCCUGUUGAAGAAUGAGCCGGCGACUUAUAGGUAGUGGCAGGUUAAAGUAGAGAAUACUGAAGCCAUAGUGAAAGCGAGCCUGAAUAGGGCGUAUGUCACUAGUUAUAGACCCGAACCCGGAUGAUCUAACCAUGGCCAGGUUGAAGCUUAGGUAAUACUAAGUGGAGGACCGAACCGACUGAUGUUGAAAAAUCAGCGGAUGAGUUGUGGUUAGGGGUGAAAUGCCAAUCGAAUUCGGAGCUAGCUGGUUCUCCCCGAAAUGUGUUUAGGCGCAGCGGUUAAUGUUAUAAUUUAGGGGUAAAGCACUGUUUCGGUGCGGGCUGGUAAUUCGGUACCAAAUCGUGGCAAACUAAGAAUACUAAAUGAAUAAUUAACCAGUAAGACUGUGGGGGAUAAGCUCCAUUGUCAAGAGGGAAACAGCCCAGAUCACCAGUUAAGGCCCCAAAAUAAUUACUAAGUGGCAAAGGAGGUGGGAGUGCUUAGACAAUCAGGAGGUUUGCUUAGAAGCAGCAACCCUUUAAAGAGUGCGUAAUAGCUCACUGAUCGAGUAAACCUGCGCCGAAAAUGAAUGGGACUAAGUAAUUUGCCGAAGCUGUGAGAUAUAUUUUUAUAUCGGUAGGGGAGCGUUCUGUUGUAGGUCGAAGCAUUAGCGUAAGCGGAUGUGGACGAAGCAGAAGUGAGAAUGUCGGCUUGAGUAACGAAAAUAUAGGUGAGAAUCCUAUACCCCGAAAACCCAAGGUUUCCUCCGGAAGGCUCGUCCGCGGAGGGUAAGUCAGGGCCUAAGGCGAGGCUGAAAAGCGUAGUCGAUGGAUAACGGUUUAAUAUUACCGUACCAUUUUUUAUUGAUAACGAGGGACGGAGAAGGCUAAACUAGCCGGAUGUUGGUUACCGGUUUAAACGUUCGAGAUGUUGAGAAGUGGCGAAAACACUUUGAGUUGAGGCGUGAAUAGGAGAUGCUAAGGCAUCGAAGUAGUGUAUGUCAGACUUCCAAGAAAAGCUCGCUAUGUCAUAGAUAAAAAAUGCCUGUACCAUAACCGACACAGGUGGGUAGGUAGAGUAUACUAAGGGGCGCGAGAUAACUCUCUCUAAGGAACUCGGCAAAAUAACUCCGUAACUUCGGGAGAAGGAGUGCCUUAUUUAUAAGGUUGCAAUAACAAGACCCAAGCAACUGUUUAUCAAAAACACAGGUCUCCGCUAAGUCGUAAGACGACGUAUGGGGGCUGACGCCUGCCCAGUGCCAGAAGGUUAAAGAAGUUGGUUAGCAUUUGCGAAGCUGAUGACUGAAGCCCUGGUGAACGGCGGCCGUAACUAUAACGGUCCUAAGGUAGCGAAAUUCCUUGUCG